GUCACUUUGGCGGAGUGGUUAACGCGCUGCCCUGCUAAUUCACAAGUUAGCCUGUUAGGCAGUUCCCUCGGGAGCGUAGGUUCGAAUCCUACAGGUGACG